GGUAAGGUCAAAGUUGAUUUUGCCCAUGUGUGUCGCUGUUGCUGCCUGCAGUGAUUGCUAUCUAGCUUGUAAAGGGUUUCUUGCAUUUUUGUUUCAGAUUGUACAGCUGUCGUAAAUGGAUUAACUGCCAAAGUGGUGCUAUAAGCAAGACGUGUAUUUAACGAUUUUUUGUGGAUCACACGUUGGCUUUACAAGUGUGCAGGGAUCCGGUGGAUGAUGAGUGAAGAAGAGUCAGGAAAUAUGCUGAUCAAGCCACUGAAACGAGUGGAGGAAGGAAAUGGAGAGUCGGGUGAGAAUGGACACAUCAGAAAGAAGCUGAAGUCUGUAGAACCGACUGGCAAUGAGAGGAAACACCCCAAAAGAAAAGUGGUCCUGCUUUUGGCAUAUUCAGGCAAAGGUUACUACGGUAUGCAGAGAAAUGCUGGAUCCUCCCAGUUCAAAACCAUUGAGGAUGAGCUGGUCACAGCACUGAUUAAGUCUGGGUGCAUCCCAGACAACCAUGGAGAUGACAUGAAAAAAAUGUCGUUCCAAAGAUGUGCGAGAACAGACAAGGGUGUUUCUGCAGCAGGUCAAGUGGUCUCUCUAAAACUGUGGAUGAUUGAAGACGUAAUGGAAAAGAUCAACUCCAAUCUUCCACCACAGAUCAGAGUGCUGGGUCUGAAACGAGUGACUGGGGGCUUCAAUUCUAAAAACAGCUGUGAUGCCCGCACAUAUUCCUACAUGCUCCCCACUGUGGCCUUCUCCCCAAAGGACUAUUACACCAAGAAUUACGCUGCGUUCCGCCUUGAGCCAGAGACACUGCAGAGAGUAAACCAGCUGUUUGGCAGCUACAAGGGCACCCAUAACUUUCACAACUUCACCUCCCAGAAGGCCGCAUGGGACCCCAGCGCCCGCCGCUACAUCACAGAGAUGUCCUGUGGCGAGCCCUUUGUUCGUGGCGGCGCCGAGUUUGCAGAGAUUACUGUGCGUGGCCAGAGCUUCAUGAUGCAUCAGAUCCGGAAGAUGAUCGGCCUGGUGAUAGCUGUGGUGAAGGGCUAUUCGGGGGACGAAGUGUUAAAGCGAAGCUGGGGUGAGGAGAAAGUGGACGUGCCCAAAGCCCCGGGCUGGGCCUGGUGCUGGAGAAGGUGCACUUUGACAGGUACAACAAGCGGUUUGGUGGGGACGGCCUCCAUGAGUGCCUGGAGUGGACUGAAGAGGAGCAGGCCAUCUUGGCUUUCAAGGAGGAGCACAUCUACCCCAGCAUUGUGGAGACAGAGUGCCAGGAAGGGUCCAUGGCUAGCUGGAUGGCCACACUGCCCAUACAUGACUUUGAGGCAACUGCAACAGGAGCUCAGGAUAAGGAUAGGGAGCAGGAUGAUGAGGAGGGUAAUAGAUCAGAUUCUGCACUUUGAAGUCUCUGGCAAGUGGAAAGACACCUUUUGCUUUGCUGUAUCUCAAGAAUGAGCUUUUGUUUUGCUAUGGAAAUGCAUCGUCAGUAAUGCCACUGAUUUACUCAAUAAUGAAGACAUUUUAAUAAACAUUUUUGUUAUUUUUAAA